rnacentral:rRNA from 1 species
CCAAACUCGGCAAAAUGGCCCCGUAACUUAGGGAGAAGGGGUGCCUGCGAGAGCAGGCCGCAGAGAAUAGGCUCAAGCAACUGUUUAGCAAAAACACAGGUCUAUGCGAAACCGAAAGGUGAGGUAUAUGGGCUGACGCCUGCCCGGUGCUGGAAGGUUAAGAGGAGAGGUUAGACGCAAGUCGAAGCUUUGAAUUUAAGCCCCAGUAAACGGCGGCCGUAACUAUAACGGUCCUAAGGUAGCGAAAUUCCUUGUCGGGUAAGUUCCGACCCGCACGAAAGGCGUAAUGAUUUGAGCGCUGUCUCGGCAAUACAUCCGGUGAAAUUGAAGUGCCAGUGAAGAUGCUGGCUACCCGCGCCAGGACGGAAAGACCCCAUGGAGCUUUACUCCAGUUUGGCACUGGGGUCCGGUGUUGCAUGUACAGGAUAGGUGGGAGGCUGAGAGAUAGUGACGUCAGUUGCUAUGGAGCCGCUGUUGGGAUACCACCCUUGUGAUAUUGGGCUUCUAACCAGCCGCCGUGAACCGGCGGUGGGACAAUGCCAGGCGGGGAGUUUGACUGGGGCGGUCGCCUCCGAAAGGGUAUCGGAGGCGCCCAAAGGUUCCCUCAGAAUGGACGGAAACCAUUCGAAGAGUGCAAAGGCAGAAGGGAGCUUGACUGCGACACCGACGGGUGGAGCAGGUACGAAAGUAGGGCUUAGUGAUCCGGUGGUAUUAAGUGGGAAUGCCAUCGCUCAACGGAUAAAAGCUACCCUGGAUAACAGGCUUAUCACCCCCAAGAGUUCACAUCGACGGAGUGGUUUGGCACCUCGAUGUCGGCUCAUCGCAUCCUGGGGCUGUAGUAGGUCCCAAGGGUUGGGCUGUUCGCCCAUUAAAGCGGUACGCGAGCUGGGUUCAGAACGUCGUGAGACAGUUCGGUCCCUAUCCGGCGUGGGCGCAGGAUAUCUGAGAGGAGCUGUCCUUAGUACGAGAGGACCGGGAAGGACGGACCGCUGGUGGACCGGUUGGCUUGCCAAAGCCAUGGCCGGGUAGCCAAGUCCGGAAGGGAUAAACGCUGAAGGCAUCUAAGCGUGAAGCCCCCCUCAAGAUGAGAUAUCCCAUUCUUUAAGAAGUAAACCCCCUUGAAGACGACGAGGUAGAUAGGGCAGAGGUGGAAGUGUGGUAACACAUGGAGCUGACUGUUACUAAUCGGGUGAGGGCUUGAUC